rnacentral:rRNA from 1 species
UACAGAGGUGGCAAGCGUUGUUCGGAAUUACUGGGCGUAAAGGGCGCGUAGGCGGUUCGUCAAGUCCUGUGUGAAAUCCCCCGGCUCAACUGGGGAACUGCACAGGAAACUAGCGGGCUUGAGUUCGGGAGAGGGAAGCGGAAUUCCGGGUGUAGCGAUGAAAUGCGUAGAUAUCCGGAGGAACACCGGUGGCGAAGGCGGCUUCCUGGACCGACACUGACGCUGAGGCGCGAAAGCUAGGGGAGCAAACGGG